rnacentral:misc_RNA from 1 species
UCCUGGUUAACCCAGGCAGUCUCGUUAGAGUUCCCGCCUUUACGCGUUGGCAACUAACGAUAAGGGUUGCGCUCGUUGCUGGACUUAACCAAACACCUCACGGCACGAGCUGACGACAGCCAUGCAGCACCUAUAUAGAGACCCUUUCGGGAACUACCAUCUCUGGUAGCGUCCUCUACAUUUCGAGCCCAGGUAAGGUUCUUCGCGUUGCAUCGAAUUAAACCACAUGCUCCACUGCUUGUGCGGGCCCCCGUCAAUUCUUUUGAGUUUCACCCUUGCGAGCGUACUCCCCAGGCGGCAUACUUAACGCGUUAGCUCCGAUACAGAAAGGGUUGAGCCCCCCUACAUCUAGUAUGCAUCGUUUAUAGCAAGGACUAC